UUUGUUCUAUUUAUCAAGUUUUGCUUUUAAACUUUCUCAUUACUAGAAAAUCACUUUUGUCUUCUUUUUCCUAUUAAUUGUUCUUUUGUCUUCUCCUCCAUAAUGUUAUUUUUCUAUUUCUGGAAAACUGGUGUAACGGUAGAGGAUACAUUAAACAGAUAAACCACAGAGACACGAUGUGCUUUCUUUCUCUCAUAUAACCAAUCUAGAUUUAAGUGUGUAUGUGUGCAAAAGGUUCUGUGUAUGGGGUCAUGAAAGUAGAAAAAUAUGAGAGGAGAAGAAGAGACCUUAAGGGAUGAAGGCAGUGGCAAAGAAAAUGCAAUAGAAUUCGUAUGACAUGAAGUCAAAAGGGAGAAUGAUUUGUGAGGAGAAUCACAAGAAAGUAUAGGAAUGGAGAAAGGGGGACAUUAAGGCAAGACAGUGACUAAGAAUGUAGUGUAAUGGCAUGUGCAUAAGAAAACACAAAAUUCAUCACACUGUAUGUGAAAAUUAAAAAUUAAUCAAAAGGGUUAAAGGAAACAAAACAAACAAAGUAAGUCAUAAACUGGUAGACAUGAUAUGAAAACUAAUAAUAACAAAAAUUGUAAAUGAUCUAGCAUAUUACUUAAAGACAGUGACUGUCAGAGGGGUUAAAACAUGAACCAAAUAUAUAUAGCUUACCAGAAAAGUUCUUCAGAUAUAAUGAUAUAGAUCAUUUAAAAGAUAAAGGACAGAAAGGUUAGUUGUCCCUCAUUAUCUGCAGGGGACUGUUUCCAGGACCACUCCUGGAAACAAAACUGCAUGGACUCUCAAGUCUCUUUUAUAAAAUGGCACAGAAUGCUCACGUACUCUAUCAAUACAUUCCCAUAUACUUUAGAUGGUCUCUACAUUAAAUGUAAUACAACUUAAAUGCUUUGUAAACAUUUGUUAUACCCUAUAGUUUAUGAGAUUAUCACUAGAAAGUAGCUUCAAGUAUCCUGUAAAGCUGCAUUGCUUUUGUUAUUGUUGUCCAAUUUGUAGGUAGUUGAAUCUGAAGGUGCAGAAGCCACAAAUCUGGAGGCAUAAUACUUCAAGAAAACUCUAAUCAAAGCUGAUAUGCUGUGUUAGUUUUGAUAAAACAGAUUUCAAAGUGAAUAUUACCAGAGAUACAGAUAGACAAUGCAUAAUUUAUAAAGGGUAAACUAAUAAGUAGGAAGUAACAAUUGUGUAUGAAUAUGUCCUUAGCAAUAGAGUUUCAAAGCACAUGAAGCACAAUAAUUAAAAUAUCAGAAAAUUCAUCGUUAAUGAUGUCAAUACUCCCUUCAUAUUAAUGGAAACAGUAGAUAGGUAAUCAAUGAAGACUUGGAUGAACCCCAAAAUUAAGAGACAUACACAGGCAUAUGGCUAUUUGCAAAAAAAUCUAACACUAAUUUUAAUAGAUAGUAUUCACCAAAUUUUAGAUAAAUAUGAGUAUGGUUAGUGAAAUGUUACUAUGGGUAAGCACAGUUUUAAUGGGAAUAAAGGCUAACUGCAUUGAAAUACGAUUUGUACCAGCAGAGAAGAGAACUGUGUGAAAGAGACUUUACAAAAACGAAAAGGAAAUGAAGCUUUAAAGUAAUGAGACUCUACUGGCCUCAGGUGCAAAAGCCAAGAGUCUUAUCACACUUGGAGAAAACAGGGUCACUACUUUGUUUAAACAUUUGUAUUAACACAAAUAGUUCUCAGUGUGGUGAAGUUCAAUUAUUUUCUUUAAAUGUUUAUCUUUUCAAACCCAUUUAUCAAUCCUUGAGAACCCUAUGUAAAAAUGUAAAUGACUUUCAUCUGGGAAAAUAAUCUAAAACAGAAAUUUGUAUUUCAAUAAGUGAAAGUACUCUCUAUAUAAAACUAGCAUUUUCUAUAAAAAAUCAGUAAAGUGGCAGGUAAGUAGCAAUAUAGUUUGUUUUAUAUUAGCCUCAUUCUUUUCUUGAUUUUUCACCUCAAAGAUGAAAGUAUUUAUAUUAUUUUUGAAUUUUUAUUGUAAUUUUUAUUUGGAACAAUUUCAAAUGUGUUUUGAUCACAUUCUUCACAUCACCCAAGUCCCUCCAGAUCGUCUCCCACUUCCUACUUACCCAACUUUGCUACUUCUCAAAAAACAAAACAAAAUUCAGUAGCACAACAAAGCCUCCCAAAAUCACAAAAACAAAAUAAAACCACAUUCAAGAAAAAAGCAAAAACAAAUGACUCCAACUAAAUUUGAUCCAUACAAAAUCACAUACACACACACACCAAAACAACAACAAAGACCUGUGGAGUCCAAUUAUAUGUUAGUCAGCUACUCCUGAACAUGAAGCCUGUCUUAGCCAGUGUCACUCUAUUGGGUAAAACUGAUUUUCCCUCUCUCAAAAGUUGUUAACUUUUACACUACUGGCUAGGUUUUCAUUUGUUCAUAGAGUGAUUCAUUUCAUUAUUUAAAAAAAUAACAAUUUAUAAUAAGAUAAAACAAAAACUAUCACAUCAAAGUUGGGCAAGACAAAACCAAAAGAAGGAAAAGAGCCCAAGAAAGGGUGCAAGAAUCAAAGACCCACUUUACAUACAUUUAGCUUUUGAAAUCUUCAUAUGUAAGGAUUGUAUCUAAUUCCUUCCUCCUUCUUCCUCCCACUCAUCCCUCCAUUUGCUCUGCUAUAUUCAAAUGUUCCCUCUCCUCAAAUUCAUGUCCUCUUACUCUUGAAUUAUUACAGUUAACACACACACACACACACACACACACACACACACACACACACAGCUCUUUUCAUUUAGUCUUGUUCAUUUGUCUCUUCUGAUUGCAUAACAACUGGGAGACUCAUCCAUGAAGCAGACUAAUUCUCAUAGUUUAUUAAUUACCUGUAUCUCUCUAUCUGGGGGUACAGUCUUGCCAAUUGGUGUUGUCAUUAAUCAGAAGCAAGCAUGAUACUCUGAUGUUGGUUAACAAUAGGGCCUAUGUAGAUCAAGGUAUGAUUAGAGAAAUCUGCUUCAGGGCAGUUAUCCAUUACAUACAUAGAGAACAAAGCAAUUAUAAGAAGUACUAAUGCUAAUGGAGUAUCAUUUGUCUAUAAAAAAGAAGAAAAAAUAAAAUCCUGCAGAUUGAUUUUGAUUCCAAACUAGAUGAAAUGACAAUAAGUUAUGUUACAUGAAAUAGGCCAGGCACAGAAAGACAAGUCCCGAUACACUCUUCCAUAUGUAAAAUGAAAAAGAAAAAAGGCAAACUCAAUUUGGAUAGGGUGUGAGGGAUGUAGGGUAGUGGUAGUACAUGGUAAGAACAAAUUUUAUCAAUGCCUGUUGUAUGAAUGUAAAAAAUGGUUUAUACUACUCUGCAUAACUAAUAUAUUUUAAUGAAAAGAAAGUAUGGAUUAGACUGGUAGUAGUAAUGUUUGCUAGAGAACACAUUAAAUUAGGUAAAUUGUGAAAUUAUUUGUUUCCUUCACACACAAAAAAAGCAUUUCUGGCAGUAAGAGACAAUGUUAAAUUUUCUUUAAUUAGAAAUGAUGGUACCAAGGGAGAAAAGGGGGCACUCACUUUUCCAUCACAUGUUUAACUGUGGUCUGACAGCUCUUCUGUUCUUAUUAAUAUAUUUUAACAAAGAAUUAGAAAUCAUAGAAGUAUUACAUUGUGUUUACUUUAUAAGGUAAGUAUCCUGUUUCACAGAUGGACUAAUUUGAGUGAAAAAUAAUUGGGAGAGGGUUUUGCAAAUUGUAUUAGGUACAGGUACAUUUUACAGUAUACUUGGUCUAAAGGUUGGUUUGUCCAUUUUAAAGACUAGUGUCAAAUACUUCCAAUUUUACAAUAUAUAAAUACAUACAUAUACAUAUAAUAUAUAUAUAUAUAUAUAUAUAUAUAUAUAUAGAUAUGAGAAUUGUCUAGUACUAGAAAAGAGACCAAGGAUUAUGACCUAUCACCUAAGUACAGGCCACACUGCAAAAGUGCAUACUGAUUCUAAUGAAACUCAGCCCUCGGAGGUUAUUGUAGUGAUCUUAUCUCCCAGAUAUAAGUUUUAAAUUCAAGACUCAAGGCAUUCUAUAAUUGUUACUGGAACAACACCAAAAGGGGAAGGGAUGAAGUUAAAUGCUGACCUUUCACUCAAAUAAUUAGAUUAAUACCCAAAAUAAUAACACAAGAGCAAACAGAAUGACGACACAAAAUCCCCAGUGCUCAGCUCAUCUCUUUAUGGUAGAACCUGUUCUAAAGGUUUUUUUGAUGACUCAGAUAUUAAUAGAAAAUAUUAGUUAUCUAAAGAGAAUGAGGAAAAAAUCCUGAAAUCACCAGGGUAGCUUUUGUUCAAAUUAACCUUUCUCUCCCUCAGAUGAGUAACAUGGACUAGAUUUAAUUGACAUAGCCAUUUUAGGCUCAAGUAGAUGAAUGACAUCAGAAAAUUACAAUACAAUGGUAGACUUGCCAUUUGCAACUAUGCCCCUUAAAAAGAUUACACUAAUCUAGUAUUUUCAUUAUUCUGACAAGACAAGUAUCUUGGUACCAUUUAUACCACCAGAUAAAUUGGCCACUAUCCCAAAACAUGGAGAUUAUUUGACUCCACAUGUGAUUCAAUCAAACUUAUACAAAAAGGAAGCCCACUAUGGUAAACUGACACCAUAUAUCAGGAGUGACUCAUUUUGACAUGAGGGUCACAUAUUGUUUCUGUGUCACCUUAAUAGCCCUUAUUCAUUUUGAUACAAUACCUCUUGGUUCAUAAUAUUCAGGUAGAUUUGCAUGUUUGGAUCCAUAUGCUGCAAGUAUACUGGAUGUGAGUUUUCUGCUUCUCUCCCGUUGUGGUCAGAGCAAUAAAGGGCAAAGAGGAGUGAGACUUUAUGCAUGGACCACAAACAUAUGUAUCACAAUUCUUGGUUAAAAAAUCAGGAACUUUGCUUAGGUGAAAAUGGAACCUAAUCAAACUAUAGGCAGCCCCAGAAAUUAUGUCUUUCAUUCUGUUCUCACCAGGACAUUUAAAGAACUAUAAAACUGUUUUUUAAACUCCAGAUCAUACUAUCAACACUUUUAAGUUAAGAUUGGUGGAUACUUUGAAAGCAAAGGAAGAAGUUCAUUCCUUAAUACUCUGCCUGCCCAACUCUAUCCCUAUCUGCUACAUAACCUUUAAUCCCAGCACUUGGUUGGCAGAGGCAGGUGGAUCUCUGUGAGUUUUAGGCUGGGGGUGUCAACAGAGUGAGAUCCAGGACAGCUAGGGCUACACAGAGAAAACCUGUCUUGAAAACAAAACAAAACAAAAAACAAAACAAAAAAGAAAAGAAAAAGAAAGGUAUGCUAAAAUUGGAAAGGUUAUGACAGAAUGACAUGGAAUUGAAACAAUUAAAACAUAAUAGAAUACAGAGUAUCUAUGUAUAUCAUACACAGGGCAAUCACAGUCUUAUGAAAUUUGUGUUUCAUCUGUAAUUAUUCCUGGCUAUUUGAGCAACUUCACUGUGUCUUAUAUGUACUUCUCUGUUGUUGGUGCAUUCCCCUAUAGGUAGCUAUUGGUCUUGAGCUUUUGUCUACUUUGCUUUUAAACUAGUCACCCACUAUGGUAGUUUGAAAGAAAAUGGUCACCAAGAGGAGUGUCACUAUUAGGAGAUAUGACUUUAUUGGUAGUAAAGCCUUGUUGGAGAAAGUGUGUCACUCUGGAGGCAAACUUUGAGGUCUCAUAUAUGCUCAGACCAUUUCAGUGUCUCAGACCACUUCCUGUUGCCUGUCCAAGAUGUAGAAGUCUCAGCUACCUCUCCAGCACCCUGUCUGUCUGCAGCCGCCAUGAUCUACCAUAAAGAUAAUAUGCUGAGCCACUGAACUGUAAGCUAUCCCUCUAAAUGUUUUCUUGUACGAGUUGCCACGGUCAUGAUGUCUCUUCACAGCAAUAGAAAUCCUAAGACAAUCAAUCAGUCAUUGUAGGAAUUAACACAAGCUGUUAUUUCUAUAGAUUCAGUGGUGCUUCCUGAUGAUCACAUAUUUUAAACACUAUGUGAGAGAUGGUGUUACCCUCUGGAGAAAAUAUGAACCAUACACAAAAGGACAUUGAUGAGAAGACAAUCCCUUCCCUCAACAAGCUUACCACAUAGAAAACACAGCAGCUGGUGGAAGUAGAAGCAGACACCCAUAAAUAAUCACCGAUCUGAACUGG